rnacentral:tRNA from 1 species
UGUUUUGUGGCUUAGUUGGUUAUAGUGCCGGUCUAGCGAUUACGGAGUCGUGGAAUCGAAUCCCACCAGAACGC